rnacentral:rRNA from 1 species
UACGGAGGGUGCAAGCGUUAUCCGGAUUCACUGGGUUUAAAGGGUGCGUAGGUGGAUUAGUAAGUCAGUGGUGAAAUCUCCGGCUUAACCCGGAAACUGCCAUUGAUACUAUUAGUCUUGAAUACCGUGGAGGUCAGCGGAAUAUGUCAUGUAGCGGUGAAAUGCUUAGAUAUGACAUAGAACACCAAUUGCGAAGGCAGCUGGCUACACGAGCAUUGACACUCAGGCACGAAAGCGUGGGGAUCAAACAGG